UUGAAAGGCCUCCAAAAAAGCAUGACAUUCAAUCAAAGUUCAGCAAGGAAAGUUUUAAUGAAUAAACUUAGUAAAUUAGAAAGCACUGCGGCAGAGUGAUUAACUCUCAUUUGGGCAUUAGUGUUGAAAUUAAUUAAAAUGUUUAAGCCAUAGGAGGCAGGCUACCUCGUCAGGACCUGGCUCUGCCCUCGGAGUCAGUCUGGAUCCAGGAGUGAUUCAUCUUACACAGAUGAGAGGGGGAUAAAAGGAAAAGAACAGUCAGGACAAAUGUGUUUUCAAUGGUGCUUAGCAGCAGGAGACCACUGGGACUUCAGAGCAACGCUACUGGAGUGUGACAUCAUAAUACGCCAAAUACCAGAGUCUCUCGCCUCUUGGAGUUUAUGGGCCAAUUUCUCCCAAGAUGUGUGAGCUUGUUGUGCCGCCGCCAGUGGACUCGCCAGCGGCUGAGCAGCUCAGAGUGACAGCGACUCAGCGUCUGGAAGCCCCACUGGGUUGUGAAAUGAAGAAGGCCUUCUUUGCCCCUGAUGCAGCCUGGGCGAGCCCCGAGGCUCCAGAAGCGAGCAUCUCCCAGCUCCUAAAGAGCAGACAUAUAUCCUGCCUUUAAGACAAGACUACAAUUGCAAAUCUGAGAAUAUAAAUUACACUUUCAUCUUUCUUUGGUUUUCUUUCUUUUGCUUCAGUUUUCAUUCCAGGAUAAACUUUCCUGUCAAAGGGACAUUUCUGAUGUGUCAAAUUCACCACUAUAAUGAACAGGUUGACAAAUGUGGAAGGUGAGCAGACAUUUGGAUCUGCCGCAGCUGCCUGCAGCCAGAGGAAACCAUGACUUUCACAAGGAUAACGAGGCUUUGAAAGAUGGCGAAAAUGUCGCCAUCAACCUGCCCUUCUGCUACUUAGUAAUUAGAUAAUUAGUCAGGCCCUAAUUAUGGGAUCAGGGUGCAGGAAAACAAUUAGCUGAAAGAAUUACUAUAUAAAACUGAAACGGAGAUUCCUGAAAACAAUAUUUAAUUUUAUGAUAUUAAUAUCUGCAGCAAUAAUGGGAGUCCUUGGCUGAUGCCACCCGUGUGCCUAGGCAUCCGGAAGGCAAGCUGGGUAUUCUCCUUCUGAGAGCUGGAUGUCAACACGAAAAUGAAUCCUGUGACACUGUCUUUUCAGGACCCCAUGUGUGCCCAGGCAGGAAGUUUGUGGCUGUUGCGUGUCAGCCAAGUGUGUACAUACCUGUGCCACACACACUUGCCUACAAACUCCCAAUUCCUUCCCCAGGCCCCAAGAAGCUACCAAAUAUGUCUCCGGCUGCAAAGAAAAAUGGGGCCGGCUCAUAAAUUCUUCUUGCAUAUGGUAUGAGAGAGUAAACAGGUAAACAAGUUUUCAAAUGCCUUCCUCCAACCUGGAAUUAUUAACACAUUGUCUUGUUAUCAUGAUUAAAAUUAAAUGAUGUUCCAGGCUCUUUGACAAAUGAAUUUGGAAUGGUUACAGUAAUGGCAUUACUUUAAAUUAUGAAACCAGGGAGAAAAAAAAGAGAGACAAAGAGAGAAAAUUGAGCCUAACAGCCUGAUCCUUAACUAUUAUUUACCUAUUAUCUGAGAGAAUUGAAUCUCGCUGUGCUGCGGCAGAGAAUAAUAAAAGAUUUGUAGGCUUUACAAGGCCCUGUCCUCCCAUCCAGCAAGCACCAAUUCCCAGGGGCUCCAUUGCGAGCCCUGGCUCAGCUUGUCUGAUCAUUUAUCCAUAAUUAGAAAAUUAAUAUUUUAGAUGGCGCUAUGAUGAACCCAUUAUGGUGAUGGGCCCCGAUAUCAAUUAUAACUUCAAUUUCAAUUUCACUUACAGCCGAGUAAUGGGUCCUGGUGGCGGUGUAGAGAUGGGCUGGAGCUUCAGAGCAUGACGAAUACAGAUCACUGCACAUUAGGAUGAGCAAUUAUUUGAACAUGUAUAAAAACUAUUUACAAGCAAUGUAAUUGACCGGGGUCAGGGGGAGAUGCUGAAAAAUGGACAGGUUGACAAAUUCUUGUUCCAUACCAACAGAAAGGAUUUAUUAAUUUCUUUGGCUGUAAUUGAAUUUUUGAAAGGUUCUUGUUAAGCUUGCCCUGCUUUGCUCAUCUCCUGUGCUGACCUUCCAUAGAUCUGAUGCUAUAGCUCCUGCUUGCUUCCGUAGCCCUUGGCAGGGAGAUUGCUGAUGGAAUUUAUAAAAAAACAAGCAGCCACUUUCAAAAUAGAUUCAGCAGAGAAUAACAGAACCACCACUCUACUAUUGUGUAACUUUCUCUUUGGAAAAAAAAAGGCUCAUAAUCUUGUGGAUAUUCCAGCUAAACACUGAGGGUUUCAAUUCUACAUUUUACCAAUUUUAAGGCUGACGUGAGCAGUGAUUUAAAGGUGAAGUAACCUUUCAGUGAUAUAACAAAGUUCAAUUUUAAUAAAAUGGAUAAAAGCAGUUUUUACCAUUUGCAGCUGAGUAGACAUCAAAGCCAUGUGUCUCUUCUAUUUCUCUUUAACCAUUUGUGUUUCCUAAGAUAAUGUUACCAAUUAUUUAAAAUUCCCUUUGGGAGGAAGGAGGGAGAAUAAGAAAUAAUUAUUUGCGGGGGGUUGGGGGUAUUAUUUUCACUGUGAUCUGUGCCCAGACCUCUCUACCUGAGAAGCUCUUCUCCCUUCCCCUUCCAUUCUUCCCGAGCUGGCUCUGCUAGAUCCAUGAACGCCCAGUUUUAACAAUUCCUUUUCAAGAACACACAAACAGACGGAUGGCAAAUAUGCAAAGCGGGAGGAAUGGCUUCCCAGACUCAGGCAACACACACCUUCUUCCAAAACGCGUAAACUCUGAGCAGGCUUGGGGCUGAGGCAGGCAGCAAGGCAGCCCAGCGAAAUCACACCAAAUCAGAGCGAAAGAUAAAUUAUGAAAAUAUCUCAGUGUCUUUAUUUGUUAAUUUUCCAUGGCCUUGGGAUGCUGCUGCUGGUUUUGUCCUGGCAUUGCCUCAUGCAUUUGCUCUUGUUUUUUUGAUGUCAGUUUAAUUGUUCACUGUCAGGGGCAGAGCAGCAGAUAACAAGCUUAGCAAAUGAUGUCUGCUGUUG
rnacentral:lncRNA from 1 species